rnacentral:rRNA from 1 species
UACGAAGGGGGCUAGCGUUGCUCGGAAUUACUGGGCGUAAAGCGCACGUAGGCGGAUUGUUAAGUCGGGGGUGAAAUCCUGGAGCUCAACUCCAGAACUGCCUUCGAUACUGGCGAUCUCGAGUUCGGGAGAGGUGAGUGGAACUGCGAGUGUAGAGGUGAAAUUCGUAGAUAUUCGGAAGAACACCAGUGGCGAAGGCGACAUACUGGUCCGUUACUGACGCUGAGGCUCGAAAGCGUGGGGAGCAAACAGG